GCUCCCUUAGUAUAAAGGAUAAUGCAAUAGUCUUCUAAACUAUGAAUAAAGGUUCGAUUCCUUUAGGGAGUA
rnacentral:tRNA from 1 species